rnacentral:lncRNA from 1 species
CCUCUCUCUCUGUCUAUCUGCUUUUGCUGUUUUUUUUUUCUCUGUUUUUUUCUGGUCCCUCUUCUCUCUGUAUCUGUUUUUCUGUUUGUUUGUUCGUUGGUUUUCCUUUUUUCUUCGUCCUCCUUCUCUCUGUGUUCGCUCCCUGUCCCCCUAUGUUGUUUUUAGUCCUUUCUCCUCCCUGUGUUUUUUUUUGUUCCCCUGCUUGGCCUUUCUCUGGCGCUUUUAUAAAGCUAGGGAAAGUCUUUUGUUCGUGCCGAAGCACG